GGCCUGGUGGUGCAAUGGUAGCACUUUUGUUUCCUAUGGUCAAGAAAAAUCCAUUCGGCGGGAGAUCCUUGUUCGAAUCAAGGUCAGGCUG